rnacentral:rRNA from 1 species
AUUGAACGCUGGCGGCAGGCCUAACACAUGCAAGUCGAGCGGAUGAAGGGAGCUUGCUCCUGGAUUCAGCGGCGGACGGGUGAGUAAUGCCUAGGAAUCUGCCUGGCAGUGGGGGAUAACGUCUGGAAACGGGCGCUAAUACCGCAUACGACCUGCGGGAGAAAGUGGGGGAUCUUUGGACCUUACGCUAUCAGAUGAGCCUAGGUCGGGUUAGCUAGUUGGUGGGGUAAAGGCCUACCAAGGCGACGAUUCGUGACUGGUCUGAGAGACUGAUCAGUCACACUGGAGCUGGGACACGGACCAGGCUCCUACGAGAGGCAGCAGUGGGGAAUGUUGGACAGUGGGCGAAAGCCUGAUCCAGCCGUGGCGCGUGUGUGGAGAAGGUCUUCGGAGUGUAAAGCACUUUAAGUUGGGGGGAAGGGCAGUAAGUUAAUACCUUGCUGUUUUGACGUUACCAACAGAAUAAGCACCGGCUAACUACGUG